rnacentral:tRNA from 1 species
GUGUCUGUAGCCUAGUGGUAAAAGGCAGCACUCUAGAUGCUGAGGUUGUGGGUUCGAAUCUCACCAGACACA